GGGCGGUUAGCUCAGUUGGUAGAGCGCUUUUUUGACGUAAAAGAGGUUCACAGGUUCGAGCCCUGUACCGCCCA
rnacentral:tRNA from 1 species